rnacentral:rRNA from 1 species
UUAAGCAAUGGUGUGACACAGGAAGGCAGUCCAGCCCGGGCGAUGGUUGUCCCGGGGUAAGGCUGUAGGGGGUGUUGUAGGUAAAUCCGCAACACACAUACCCUGAGAGCUGAUGCCGAGCCGUAAGGCGAAGUGGAUGAUCCUAUGCUGUCAAGAAAAGCAUCUAGCGAGAAUUAUUGCGGCCCGUACCCGAAACCGACACAGGUGGUCAGGUAGAGAAUACCAAGGCGAUCGAGAGAAUCAUGGAUAAGGAACUCGGCAAAAUGCCCCCGUAACUUCGGGAGAAGGGGGGCCCUUCGACGUGUAGGAGUUUACCUCCGAAGCUUGGAAGGCCGCGGAGACCAGGCUCAAGCGACUGUUUACCAAAAACACAGGUCCGUGCGAAGUAGCAAUACGAUGUAUACGGACUGACGCCUGCCCGGUGCUGGAAGGUUAAGGGGACUGGUUAGCCGCAAGGCGAAGCUGAGAACUUAAGCCCCAGUAAACGGCGGUGGUAACUAUAACCAUCCUAAGGUAGCGAAAUUCCUUGUCGGGUAAGUUCCGACCUGCACGAAUGGCGUAACGACUUGAGCGCUGUCUCAUCCGUGAACUCGGCGAAAUUGCAUUACGAGUAAAGAUGCUCGUUACGCGCAGAAAGACGGAAAGACCCCGGGACCUUUACUAUAUCUUGAUAUUGGUGUUCGGAACGGUUUGUGUAGCAUAGGUGGGAGACUUUGAAGCGGGCACGCCAGUGUUUGUGGAGUCAUCGUUGAAAUACCACUCUGAUCGUUUUGAACUUCUAACCUCGGUCCGUAAUCCGGAUCAGGGACAGUGUCUGGUGGGUAGUUUGACUGGGGCGGUCGCCUCCUAAAAAGUAACGGAGGCGCUCAAAGGUUCCCUCAACCUGGUUGGCAAUCAGGUGUCGAGUGUAAGUGCACAAGGGAGCUUAACUGUGAGACAGACAUGUCGAGCAGGUGCGAAAGCAGGAACUAGUGAUCCGGCGGUGGCUUGUGGAAGCGCCGUCGCUCAACGGAUAAAAGGUACCCCGGGGAUAACAGGCUGAUCUUGCCCAAGAGUCCAUAUCGACGGCAAGGAUUGGCACCUCGAUGUCGGCUCGUCUCAUCCUGGGGCUGGAGUAGGUCCCAAGGGUUGGGCUGUUCGCCCAUUAAAGAGGCACGCGAGCUGGGUUCAGAACGUCGUGAGACAGUUCGGUCCCUAUCUUCUGUGCGCGCAGGAAACUUGAGAAGGGCUAACCCUAGUACGAGAGGACCGGGUUGGGCGAACCUCUGGUGUGUCGGUUGUUCCGCCAGGAGCACCGCCGAUUAGCUACGUUCGGAAGGGAUAACCGCUGAAAGCAUCUAAGCGGGAAGCUCGCUUCGAGAUUAGGUUUCCCACUGGUUUACCAGGUAAGGCCCCCAGCUAGACGACUGGGUUGAUAGGCCGGAAGUGGAAGAGUCGCAAGACUUGGAGCUGACCGGUACUAAUAGGCCGAGGAUUCAA